rnacentral:rRNA from 1 species
CAUCCUGGGGCUGUAGCAGGUCCCAAGGGUUUGGCUGUUCGCCAAUUAAAGCGGUACGCGAGCUGGGUUUAGAACGUCGUGAGACAGUUCGGUCCCUAUCCUCUGUUGGCGCAGGAGAAUUGAGAAGGUUUGCCCCUAGUACGAGAGGACCGGGGUGAGCGAACCUCUGGUGUGCCAGUUGUCUUGCCAAGGGCAUGGCUGGUUAGCCAAGUUCGUUAGGGAUAAGUGCUGAAAGCAUAUAAGCAUGAAACCCGCUUCAAGAAUAGUUCUCCCAUCCGUAAGGAGUAAGAUCCCAUGUAGAACACAUGGUUGAUAGGUUGGAAGUGUAAGCACAGUAAUGUGUUCAGCUGACCAAUACUAAUAGAUCGAGGACUUGAUA